ACGUGAAGAUGGCUACCAUGGAGGGUAGCAGAGUCGGAAAAGAGAAGAAUAAGGAAGUUAUUUUGAGGCUAUUUUUCAAUGAUCUAUUAUAGAAUUUCAACCACAAAAACGAAGAUCAAGUGAAGGAAGGAAAGCACUAGGAAAGAGAUCAAAAUCUUACUUAGGCUCGAAUGGACAUUGCAAUCAUAAACCCGAUGCCCAAAAUAGGGCACAGCAAACCUAACAAAGAAC
rnacentral:lncRNA from 1 species